rnacentral:rRNA from 1 species
UAGGGAAUCUUCGGCAAUGGACGAAAGUCUGACCGAGCAACGCCGCGUGAGUGAAGAAGGUUUUCGGAUCGUAAAACUCUGUUGUUAGAGAAGAACAAGGACGUUAGUAACUGAACGUCCCCUGACGGUAUCUAACCAGAAAGCCACGGCUAACUACGUGCCAGCAGCCGCGGUAAUACGUAGGUGGCAAGCGUUGUCCGGAUUUAUUGGGCGUAAAGCGAGCGCAGGCGGUUUCUUAAGUCUGAUGUUAAAGCCCCCGGCUCAACCGGGGAGGGUCAUUGGAAACUGGGAGACUUGAGUGCAGAAGAGGAGAGUGGAAUUCCAUGUGUAGCGUUGAAAUGCGUAGAUAUAUGGAGGAACACCAGUGGCGAAGGCGGCUCUCUGGUCUGUAACUGACGCUGAGGCUCGAAAGCGUGGGGAGCAAACAGG